GGUGAGGCGGUCGCUCAGUCCGUGGGGUUGCUACUGCUGCCGCUGCCGCUGCCGCUGGCCGGGAGGUCGGGAGAACGGGUGGAGAGAGCCGACGCCUACACUCGCGGCGGGCGCGACGCCAGGGCAGGUCCCUCGGCCCGCCUACGGCCUCGCGGCCGCGCUGGAACAACUGGGCGGGCCUGGGUGAGCCCUGCGCGUCAGGCCUUUGUCCUCCGGGCGGGAACCCCAGACGCACGGGCGAGCCGGGCCGAACGUCCGCGGCGAAGCAAACGCGAGCUUGUUAAGUCGCCCGCGAAGAGCGGCGGGCACUGGCCCUCAGGGGUGCGAGGCCGGUGGUUGCGAACCAGGUGGGUAUUGCAGUUGCUUUCAAUAAUCACCCAAAUCCACUGUUCCUGGGCAAGCUCCUGGUGGAUUAAUCCUGCAGGAUGGCAGCCAUCAACCCGUGGGCUUCCUGGGGUAUCUUUACGGACCAGUCCUGGGGGAUGGCGGCUGUUGACCCGUGGGCCUCCUGGGGUGAGUCAAGAACUUUUGUCCCCGGACUUCCCUGGUGGUCCAGCAGUUAAGACUCCACACUUCCAUUGCUGGGGAUGCGGGUUCCAUCCCUGGUCGGGGAACUAUGAUCCGACAUGCCUCAUGGUGUGGCAAAAAAACAACUUGUGUCCCCAUCAGCCACAUUGGUUAACAUGUUUUGGUCUCUCCCAGCAGUAA
rnacentral:lncRNA from 1 species